rnacentral:rRNA from 1 species
GGAUUCCCUCAGUAAUGGCGAAUGAACAGGGAUGAGCUCAGCAUUGAAAUCUGGGCCCUCGGCCCUGAAUUGUAAUCUCGAGAUGUGCAACCAACGGAGGCGCAGAUGUAAGCCUCUUGGAAAAGAGCACCAGCGAGGGUGAGAGUCCCGUUCGUCAUUUGCAGUCCCCCGUGUACGGUGUACUUUCUAAGAGUCACGUUCCUCGGGCUUGGAGCGCCAAAGGUGGUAAAUUUCAUCUAAAGCUAAAUAUAGGUUUGAGACCGAUAGCAAACAAGUACCAUGAGGGAAAGAUGAAAAGGACUUUGGAAAGAGAGUUAAAAGUGCCUGAAAUUGCUGAAAGGGAAGCGAAUGGAACCAGUGUUUCUUGGCGAGAUUGUUACACGCUAAAUUGAUGGUCGGUUGCUUCAACGCAAGUGCUGCAGCUGGCUCUGAAAUGGACGUGUGUGGUGCUUCUUGCCUUGCCUGUCAACGUCAAUUUGGAGUUGAGGAAAACUCAAGGGACAUGGUAGUUUGCCCAUGGGUGACCGAACGUGCCUUGCAGAACUCAUCUUUGGAUUGAAGACCUCGUGUCCGGUUGCAACGCCCCCCUCUCGGGCUCUCAGCCUUGGGAAACUCAGCUCGGCAGCGGCCCUCCUUAUGGGGGAGCGUUCCUUGACGCGAAGAUGGUGACAAAAUGGUUUCACUCGACCCGUCUU